rnacentral:rRNA from 4 species
AAACUUUCAACAAUGGAUCUCUUGGUUCCGGCAUCGAUGAAGAACGCAGCGAACUGCGAUAAGUAAUGCGAAUUGCAGAAUUCAGUGAAUCAUCGAGUCUUUGAACGCACAUUGCGCCCCCUGGCAUUCCGGGGGGCAUGCCUGUCCGAGCGUCAUU